AUCCACGUUAAUUUUCACUUUAACCCCAAAAUUUAUAUACCGCCAUUUUAAGAAUCAAUUUAAAAAUUUCUCUCUUAAUAAAUUAUAAAAAAUUAGGUCAAGGUGUAAUCUAUAUUAAAGAAUAAAAUGAAUUACAUUAAAUAAUAUUUAAAGAUUAUUUAUAAAUAUAUAAACAUAAAUAAGAAUUUAAAAGUAAUAUAAUAAUAAUAAUAUUAUAUGAUAAAGACAAUAAAUGUGCACACAUCGCCC
rnacentral:rRNA from 1 species